rnacentral:rRNA from 1 species
ACUGCUUAGAGGUUAAACCCGAUGAACCUGAAUAUCCGUUAUGGAAAAUUCAUCAUUAGUAAUAUAAUAUGUAAAAAUAUUAUAUGAAUAUCGUGCAAUUUUUCCAUAUAAGGACAUUGUAAUCUGUUAAUGUAAUAAUAUUUAUCAAAAGAUCCUUAACAUAAGUUUAUUCAAAUUAUUUAUUUUUACGGAUAUUUGACAUAGAAUAAAUGUUUUGGAUUUGAUAAAUCAUUGACAGAUAUAAUUAUAUAAUGCGCUCAAAUUCUUAGGAAUUUUAUCAAUGGUAGAUGAAUCUAUUGAUUUGUUUAUUUAUUGUGUGCUGUUAUGAUUAACAAUGCGAUAGAUUCAGGAUACCUUCGGGACCCGUCUUGAAACACGGACCAAGGAGUCUAACAUAUGUGCAAGUCAUUGGGUAUUUUUAAUAAAACCCAAUGGCGUAAAUAACUUAACUGUUUAAUGGGAUUAGUAAUAUUAAGUUUUUUUUAAAAUUAAUGUAUUCAAUCCCGGGGCGUUCUAUAUAGUUAUGUAUAAUGAUAUUUAUAUUAUUUAUACCUCUAACUAGGGCGUACCUUGAGCAUAUAUGCUGU